rnacentral:misc_RNA from 1 species
AGUUCGGCGGUCACGGUGUCGGCCGGACCAUGCACGGCGACCCACACGUCCCCAACGACGGGCGCCCGGGACGCGGACUCAAGAUCAAGCCGGGGCUGGUGAUCGCGAUCGAGCCGUGGUUCCUCCAGACCACCGACCAGAUCUUCACCGACUCCGACGGCUGGACACUUCGCAGCGCCGACGGCUCCCGCGGCGCGCACAUGGAGCACACCGUCGCGAUCACCGACAGUGGCCCGCUGGUGCUCACGGACCGAUCCGGGCUCGAGGGCUAACCGACGUAGCUGACCUGCAGCUCCUUGAUGCCGUUGACCCAGCCGUGCCGGAGGCGGCGGGCCUCGCCGAGCCUGCUGAUGGCCGGCGCGUGCUCGGCCAGGGCCUCGAAGAUCAGCUGGACCUCCUGGCGGGCCAGGUUGGCGCCGAUGCAGUAGUGCGCGCCGUGCCCGCCGAAGGCCACGUGCGGGUUCGGCGAGCGGGUGAUGUCGAAGGUGUAGGGCUCGACGAAGACGUCGUCGUCGUAGUUGGCGCUGCCGUAGAACAGCCCGACCCGCUGGCCCUUCUUCACCGGCACGCCGCCCACCUCGACGUCGUUGAGCGCGGUCCGCUGGAAGACGUUGAUCGGGGUCGCCCACCGGAUCACCUCGUCGACCAUGGUCUCGGGACGCUCGUCGAGCCAGAGCUGCCACUGGUCGGGGUGGUCGAGGAAGGCGUCCAUGCCAUGCGUGAUCGCGUUGCGGGUGGUCUCGUUGCCGGCCACGGUCAGCAUGAUCACGAAGUAGCCGAACUCGUCGUCGUUGAGCCCGCGGCCGUCCUUGUCGGCGUUGAGCAGCCUCGUGACGAGGUCGUCCCGCGGGUUCUCCUUGCGCUCGGCCGCCAUCGCCAUCGCGUAGCCGAGGAUCUCGGCCGCGGCCACGUCGGACGCGCCCUCGAAGUCCGGGUCCUCGUUGGCCAGCAUCUGGUUGGACCAGUCGAAGAGCUUGCGCCGGUCCUCCUGCGGUACGCCGAGCAGGUCGGCGAUCGCCUGCAGCGGCAGCUCGGCCGCGACCUCCUCGACGAAGUUGCCCGAGCCGCGUUCCACGGCGUCCAGGACGAUCCGGCGGGCCCGCUCGCGCAUGAUCUCCUCGAGGGCGCCGAUGGCACGUGGCGUGAACAUGCGGGAGAUGAUGUGCCGCGUCGCGGUGUGCUCGGGCGGGUCCUGGUUGAGCAGCAUGACCCGCUGCAUCUCCACCAUCUCGCGCAGCAUCCCCUCCUGGAAGCGGAUGAUCGCGCCGUUCUCCGAGCUGGAGAAGUUCUUGCUGUCCUUCGAGACCGCCGCGACCUCGGCGUGCUUCGACACCGCCCAGUAGCCGGUGCCGGCCGCCUCGGCCAUGCCGUCGCGCGAGGACUGCGGCUGCUCCACCCAGUACACCGGCGCAUUGAGCCGCAGCGCCUGGAACUGCUCGUGCGGCACCGACUCCCAGAGGAUGUCGGGAUCGCUGAAGUCGUAGCCCUCGGGCAGGACGGUGUCAGUCACGUCGUUCCUUUCAAUGAGCCCACUAGCGGUAGGCGACCUGCAGGUCCUUGACGCCGUUGAUCCAGCCGUGCCGCAGCCGUCGCGGCUCCCCGAGCUGGCGGAUCCCCGGGGCCUGCUCGGCGAGGGCGUCGAAGAUCAGGUUGACCUCGAGCCGGGCCAGGUUGGCACCGAUGCAGUAGUGAGCACCGUGGCCUCCGAAGGCCUGGUGCGGGUUCGGGUCACGGGUGAUGUCGAAGCGGAACGGGUCGGUGAACACGUCCUCGUCGAAGUUGGCGCUCGCGUAGAACAUCCCGACCCGCUCGCCGGCCGCGACCGGCUGGCCGCCGACCACGACGUGGUUAAUGGCCGUGCGCUGGAAGACCGUGACCGGGGUGGCCCAGCGGAUGAUCUCGUCGCCGGCCGUCGCCGGGCGCGUCUCCUUGUACAGCUCCCACUGGUCGGGGUUCUGGAAGAACGCGUGCAUGCCGUGCGAGAUGGCGUUGCGGGUGGUCUCGUUGCCGGCCACCGCGAGCAGCACCAUGAAGAAGCCGAACUCGUCGUCGGUGAGCCCGCCCUCACCAUCGAGCUCCGCGGAGACGAGCUUGGUGAUGACGUCGUCCUGCGGGUUCUUGCGACGCUCGUCGGCCAGUGCCAUCGAGUAGCCGAGGAUCUCCAUGAACGCGACGGCCUCGUCGCCCUCCACCUCGGGAUCGUCGUAGGACAUCAUCUGGUUGGACCACUCGAAGAGCUUGCCGCGGUCCUCCUGCGGGACGCCGAGCAGCCCGGCGAUCGCCUGGAGCGGGAGCUCCGCCGCGACGUCCUCGA